GGGAGUAACAGGCUGAUACCGCCCAAGAGUUCAUAUCGACGGCGGUGUUUGGCACCUCGAUGUCGGCUCAUCACAUCCUGGGGCUGAAGUAGGUCCCAAGGGUAUGGCUGUUCGCCAUUUAAAGUGGUACGCGAGCUGGGUUUAGAACGUCGUGAGACAGUUCGGUCCCUAUCUGCCGUGGGCGCUGGAGAACUGAGGGGGGCUGCUCCUAGUACGAGAGGACCGGAGUGGACGCAUCACUGGUGUUCGGGUUGUCAUGCCAAUGGCACUGCCCGGUAGCUAAAUGCGGAAGAGAUAAGUGCUGAAAGCAUCUAAGCACGAAACUUGCCCCGAGAUGAGUUCUCCCUGAGACUUUAGGUCUCCUGAAGGAACGUUGAAGACGACGACGUUGAUAGGCCGGGUGUGUAAGCGCAGCGAUGCGUUGAGCUAACCGGUACUAAUGAACCGUGAGGCUUAACCUUACAACGCCGAAG
rnacentral:rRNA from 1 species